GAGAUUUGAUAGGGAUAGGAGUGGAAAAAUUGAUUCAUCUGAAUUGAGGGACGCGUUACUUAGCCUGGGAUAUGCUGUAUCACCUUCUAUCCUGGAAUUGCUGGUCUCCAAGUUUGAUAAAACUGGUGGAAAGAGUAGAGCCAUUGAAUAUGAUAACUUCAUUGAGUGCUGCCUCACCGUUAAAGGGCUAACUGAGAAGUUCAAGGAGAAGGAUACUUCAUAUUCUGGCUCUGCUACGUUCACUUAUGAGUCGUUCAUGCUAACAGUUUUGCCUUUCCUGAUUGCUUAGAGACGAGGCAUAUGAAUUUCACAAUUACGGGUGGUCUUACUAUGAUUUACCAGCUUCGUUUUCGUUUGUUUUCAGUAGAGAGAUGUUUGCUUCUGUUAGUUUUUGUAAACAGUUUCCAGGGUGAAGUUGAAUUACUUGCUUGUAGAAGUCUAGUGUGUUGUAGAGCAGUUAAUGGGCUAUCAAAACUAAAUCCUUUGUGUUUCUUUUGAUGUGUUUACUAUUCGAUCAUGACUACUUUAAAGAGUAUUUGGUUCGGCUUAUUUUAGAAAAUAAAAUAUAAACAAAU
rnacentral:misc_RNA from 1 species